GGCCUUGUAGCUCAGUUGGAUAGAGCGUCGCACUUCUAAUGCGAAAGUCCUGGGUUCGAGCCCCAGCUAGGCCU